CGGGGUGAGUAACGCGUGGAUAACCUGCCUCACACUGGGGGAUAACAGUUAGAAAUGACUGCUAAUACCGCAUAAGCGCACAGUACCGCAUGGUACAGUGUGAAAAACUCCGGUGGUGUGAGAUGGAUCCGCGUCUGAUUAGCCAGUUGGCGGGGUAACGGCCCACCAAAGCGACGAUCAGUAGCCGACCUGAGAGGGUGACCGGCCACAUUGGGACUGAGGCACGGCCCAA
rnacentral:rRNA from 1 species